CCGGCGAUUUCCGAAUGGGGAAACCCAGUGUGUUUCGACACACUAUCAUUAACUGAAUCCAUAGGUUAAUGAGGCGAACCGGGGGAACUGAAACAUCUAAGUACCCCGAGGAAAAGAAAUCAACCGAGAUUCCCCCAGUAGCGGCGAGCGAACGGGGAGGAGCCCAGAGCCUGAAUCAGUGUGUGUGUUAGUGGAAGCGUCUGGAAAGGCGCGCGAUACAGGGUGACAGCCCCGUACACAAAAAUGCACAUAUUGUGAGCUCGAUGAGUAGGGCGGGACACGUGGUAUCCUGUCUGAAUAUGGGGGGACCAUCCUCCAAGGCUAAAUACUCCUGACUGACCGAUAGUGAACCAGUACCGUGAGGGAAAGGCGAAAAGAACCCCGGCGAGGGGAGUGAAAAAGAACCUGAAACCGUGUACGUACAAGCAGUGGGAGCCUCUUAAUGGGGUGACUGCGUACCUUUUGUAUAAUGGGUCAGCGACUUAUAUUCUGUAGCAAGGUUAACCGAAUAGGGGAGCCGAAGGGAAACCGAGUCUUAACUGGGCGUUAAGUUGCAGGGUAUAGACCCGAAACCCGGUGAUCUAGCCAUGGGCAGGUUGAAGGUUGGGUAACACUAACUGGAGGACCGAACCGACUAAUGUUGAAAAAUUAGCGGAUGACUUGUGGCUGGGGGUGAAAGGCCAAUCAAACCGGGAGAUAGCUGGUUCUCCCCGAAAGCUAUUUAGGUAGCGCCUCGUGAAUUCAUCUCCGGGGGUAGAGCACUGUUUCGGCAAGGGGGUCAUCCCGACUUACCAACCCGAUGCAAACUGCGAAUACCGGAGAAUGUUAUCACGGGAGACACACGGCGGGUGCUAACGUCCGUCGUGAAGAGGGAAACAACCCAGACCGCCAGCUAAGGUCCCAAAGUCAUGGUUAAGUGGGAAACGAUGUGGGAAGGCCCAGACAGCCAGGAUGUUGGCUUAGAAGCAGCCAUCAUUUAAAGAAAGCGUAAUAGCUCACUGGUCGAGUCGGCCUGCGCGGAAGAUGUAACGGGGCUAAACCAUGCACCGAAGCUGCGGCAGCGACACUAUGUGUUGUUGGGUA
rnacentral:rRNA from 1 species